UAACUUUGACAUAUAUUAUUUCUACAAGUACUAUGAUACAUUAUGAGUAUAUUGCAUUAUAUUCAUUACCAAAUUUUAUACAUUUUUAUUCAUUGCCUAAUUGUUUAAAACAAUAUAAAAUAAAAAUGUACAAAAUUCAGUAAUGAAUAUAAUGCAAUUUAACCAUAAUGUAUGAUAGUCCUUUUAUAAAUAAUAUAUGUCAAAGUUAUAAAUAAAUAAAAAAGCAAUAGGUGGGUGUUGAACCAUGGACCUCUAGGUUCUAUUAUACCCAAAUAUGGAGUAAUGAUACUGCAAUAUUAAUCAUCAAUUGAGGAAAUAUAAGUAUAACAUAAAGAAAGUAUUGGGAAAAGUGAUAAUGUGUGGCUUUUGUGUGCCUCUUGUAUGCCGUCCUAAAUUAGAAAUUUGGAUUUAAUUUAAACACCCAAGUUUAGGUCAAACAUAUUUUAAUAAUAUUAUUUUUUCUAAUUUUUUAAAAAAUUUCAGGGGGCAGUUGCCCCACUGUCCUUGAGAACUUCCGCCACUGGCUACACCAGUUGAAUUUGUUUAAGAAUGUAAUAUUUAUGUAUUGUUUGUGUAGAUAUUUAUAAAUAUACAUUAUACUAUCUACUAUUUAUUUAAAUUAUCUCUUUUGAAGAGUCAGUGAUAUUUAAAUAUGAAUAGUGAAUAAUAUAACAACAAUAUAUAAAACUCUUACAAUAUCAAUACACAUAUUUUUUUCUGUUUAUAUAUUCUAAUGGCAUGUGAUUUUUAAAAGAGAUAUUCAAGUGGUGUCAUAUGUAAGGAUUUUAUGUUAUGAAGGUAGAAUGGUAAGUUAUGUGACUAGAUAAGAAUCUUACAUGGACAAAUUGACCAAUAACAAAUAUUUUAAAAUUGUAACAACUCUAACCAUAAAAAUAAAAAGCACCUAUUUAUAUGAGAUCAAAUUAAAUUAUCCAAAUGAUAUUUAUUAGAAGGGGAACACAUACCAUAAAAAAAUAUUAGUUCCUUGCUCAAAAGGGUGAAAAAAUACCCUUAAUGCCGGAAAAAACUAAAUCAUUUGAAAACUUAACAAAAUAAUAUAUGAAAGUUCAUUUCUCAUUGAGUACCCCACUCCUCCUCGUGGAAAGUAGUUUUCUUGCUUUUUGAUGUUUUAUCUUUCAUAUGUUAACACAAAAAAUAAAUUUAUUUUUUGGUAUACACAAUUAAAUUCAAGUGUAUGAUUUUUUAAGCUCUUGUUUAUAAAGAUUAAAAAAUAAAAAUUAUUAUCUAACACAAAUAAGUAAGAAUGCACUUUUUUGGUAUUGUUUUCCAACAAAAUCACUUAUUUUUUGGAGAAAAAAAAUCAGUUGUAACGAAAAUGAUUAAAAUCUCAUAAUCAACAUUGAACAACUUUAUAUUAUAAGGAGCUAUUUAUUUAAGAUUAAAAAUAUGUGAUGAAUUUUUUAUAUAUUUGGGUAUAAAACAAAAAAAAUAUUUGUGUUUGGUUAAAAUCAAACUUUUUUACAAUGUUGUGGAUUUGGUACACUCUUUGUGUCUCUUCUGUAACACUAAUUAUAAUAUAAAAGAACUCAGAAUAAUAAAAAUAAGUUUAUCCAAACAUUUUUAAAAUAUAUAAUUGAUUUUAGUGAAAAAUAAUCUGAAGCAAACAUAUUCUAAAUUUUAGAAUAUUCAUAAUUUCUACUUUAGUCAAACUAAAUGUAACUCGUGAAAGAACAGUAAAAUAUAUGGUAGGAUGGAAAAACAAUUAAUUGAAAGAUGAAACAAAUUUUUAGGGGCAGUUAUUGGGUAAAUGAUUAUACUAGGGUGAAAAAAAGGUGAGAGUAAUAUGAGAAAGAAAAUCCAUAAACUAAAUUUAGAAAAUAAAUUAUGUUGACAACCCAAAAUAAAGUUUUUACCUAACUAAUUUUUCCAACUACCAAUAAUAUAUAUUUUUCUAAAUAUUACGUAUUCUUAUUGUCUCAUUAAAAUUAAAUUCAUCAUUAGUACCAAUAAUAUAUAUCUAUAUAACAUUUACUUAUGAUAAUAUAAGUAUCUAAUAAUUAAAAAUGGUUUGACCGAUAAGACAAUGUGUGUGAAGAUGCUAGUUAUAUUAAUAAAUAAGAUUUUUCUAUAAUAGAUAAUUUAGUUAUCCAUUAUAGGGAAAUUUAAUGUUUCAAAUUUACUGAUUAAUUUAAAUUAUUAGAUAACUAAAAUAUUGAGUAAAUUAUUUUAUCUUACUUAAAGUGAAUGAUCUACUUCCAAUAAAUAAAAGGAAUUGACAAUUUUAGUGGAUGUGAUCUAGAUUUGUUGGAGAGAGAAAAAUCAGUUGUAACGAAAAUAACUAGAAUCUCAUUAAAAUUAAAUUCAUCAUUAGUACCAAUAAUAUAUAUCUAGAUUUAUACUUAUUAAUAAUCUAUAUUUCUAACUUACAUCUUAUUAUCUAUUUAAAAUUAAAUUUAUCAUUAUUGUUCACAGUAAAUCCAUAUCUUAUUUUUUUAAUUACUUUUUUGUCUAUAAUUUUUUUAUUAAUUGUUCUAUAAUUUAAAAAAUAUGAUAUUUUAAAAAUGAGUGUUGGAAGACAAUCUCAUGCUUUCAAAAUCCUAGUAUUCUAUUAAUGUGUAUCGAUCCAUGAGGAAUGGACUAGGAGUUCUUAAUAUGUAGUUUAGGGUUUCAUUUUAACAUUCAUGUGAUAAAUAAAUUAUUAAGGGACUCUCUCGCAGUGUCUAAUUAUGUUUUGGUGGUUGAUAUCCCGUAUUAGAAAAUCCUUAAAAAUAGAAAGAUAUAUGUUGAUGAAACUUGGGUGACUCAUAUGCAAGCAAAUGAGACGAUGACAAGUUUUGAUUGUCUCAACUCAUCCAUACCAUGAAUCCAGCCAUUUUGAUGAAAAAUGAAGACAUGCUCAAUCUUAUUCUUACUAUUACCAUAGGUAUUUAAAGAAAAGUCGUUAAUCUAAUGAUAUAAGAUAAUAUUAGAUUUUCAAAUAGAUCAAAUGUCGAUGGUUUGAUUUUUAGAAAAAAUAUUUGUCAGAAAGAACAACAUACAUCGUGAAAAGGGACUCAUAGAAUAAGAGGAUACAUUAGGAAAAUUUACGUGGAUAGUGUAGUCAAACUACACUAUCACACGUUUAGUAUAUGUUUCAAGAUAUUUACGGAAGUAGUGUAUUUUUCGGGAAGUCGUGGAUGGUAUCCACGACUUCGGGGGAAAGUCGUGGAUGGGGUCCACGACUUCGGGAAGUCGUGGAUCUCAUCCACGACUUCCCUGACAUAUUCUCUCUCUACGGAAGUCGUGUACCCUAAAUACGACUUCCAUUGUAUAUUAAUAAUAAAAUAGUUAUGUAGCCUAGUGGUUCUUGAUUUUUAUGAGAACCUAGAGGUCCAUGGUUCAACACCCACCUAUUGCUUUUUUUUAUUUUUAUUUAUAACUUUGACAUAUAUUAUUUCUACAAGUACUAUGAUACAUUAUGAGUAUAUUGCAUUAUAUUCAUUACCAAAUUUUAUACAUUUUUAUUCAUUGCCUAAUUGUUUAAAACAAUAUAAAAUAAAAAUGUACAAAAUUCAGUAAUGAAUAUAAUGCAAUUUAACCAUAAUGUAUGAUAGUCCUUUUAUAAAUAAUAUAUGUCAAAGUUAUAAAUAAAUAAAAAAGCAAUAGGUGGGUGUUGAACCAUGGACCUCUAGGUUCUCAUAAAAAUC
rnacentral:lncRNA from 1 species